AUAGAUCAUUCGAUGUCAUUUACAAAAAGUUUCAUAAGAGGUCAUUUGGGCUUCAACCCAACAGAACUAACAGCAUUUUAAGCUCUUAGAACUUGCAGGUCGCAUACAGAAGAUGGAGGAUAGAAGAAGAAGAAGAAAGCUGGCGAACCUGAAAGGAUUUCUUCGAUGAGUGAUCAACUGCAGGGCUUGAAACUCAAGGUUGAAAACCAGCUCAAGUACGAGAAUGACGAUGCUAGAAUACAAGAAGAGCCCGGACAAGAAAGUGAACCUAAGAUCUCGCAAGUCACAACCUUUAGAGACCAGGCUGCUGUUUAAAUACCAAAGGGGUCUCACACGGACUCGCCCUUCUUUAUGGCCCUGUCCUUCUCAAUGCCUGUUAAGCUCACGCAAAAGUCAUCAGUGUCUUGUGGGAAUCUCACUACGAACCUUAAAAAAUGAAGCAAAGAAGAGGAAAAAGGAGCUGCUUACAUUCUGAAUGGGUUCUUCGUGUCGAAGUUGCUGGCUCUGGUUUGUUUCCCUUUCCAGUUUUCUCUUCCGUAAUUCUUUUCCAGUAUUCUCCACUAAAAUAUAUAUCACAAUCAUACAAUCUCGGCCGUCCAGUGGUCCUUGCAUGUGCCCUUCACCAUUUGAUUUCGGGUUCUUUUCUUCUUCCAUUUGUUCUUUUUAUUCCCAAACACUGUGGCCAGUUAAUUGUGGAAAGCAAAACCGUGGGAACCUUCUUGAAUAGGAAAGGUGCAGGGAAAAUGUCCAUUCCCUUGCUUGUUGGAGCCUAGAGCCAGGAAAUUUGAUAGCUUUGGCGCACAAAUAUGUCGGAGAAAACUGCAUAGAGAUGUUUGAUGGAGUGCCAAAGGUUUGUGAGUCUUGGAUUCUUGAGUUAAUUAGGGACUUUGAAUCAUGUACCAUUUGAGUUUGAGAUUAAUGUAAUAGGGUAGAGAAACUCGGGACUAUCUAUAUAAUUCUCUCACACACACACGUAUAUAUAGACCAAAUUAUUAAAUUAAAAAGAUAACUCAGUCUUAUUUGUUUAUUGAAAAUCGAAGAAUGAGAAUAGAAUAUGGGACC